rnacentral:rRNA from 1 species
UACAUGUGGGGCAAGCGUUGUUCGGAAUUACUGGGCGUAAAGCGUGCGCAGGCGGUGAUGUAAGACAGGUGUGAAAUCCCGGGGCUCAACCUCGGAACUGCAUUUGUGACUGCAUCGCUGGAGUGCGGCAGAGGGGGAUGGAAUUCCGCGUGUAGCAGUGAAAUGCAUAGAUAUGCGGAGGAACACCGAUGGCGAAGGCAAUCCCCGUGGGCCUGCACUGACGCUCAUGCACGAAAGCGUGGGGAGCAAACAGG